CCUACGGGCGGCAGCAGUGGGGAAUAUUGGACAAUGGGGGCAACCCUGAUCCAGCCAUGCCGCGUGUGUGAAGAAGGCCCUCGGGUUGUAAAGCACUUUCAGUGAGGAAGAACGCCUGGUGGUUAAUACCCAUCAGGAAAGACAUCACUCACAGAAGAAGCACCGGCUAACUCCGUGCCAGCAGCCGCGGGAAUACGGAGGGUGCGAGCGGUAAUCGGAAUUACUGGGCGUAAAGCGCGCGUAGGUGGCUUGAUAAGCCGGUUGUGAAAGCCCCGGGCUCAACCUGGGAACGGCAUCCGGAACUGUCAAGCUAGAGUGCAGGAGAGGAAGGUAGAAUUCCCGGUGUAGCGGUGAAAUGCGUAGAGAUCGGGAGGAAUACCAGUGGCGAAGGCGGCCUUCUGGACUGACACUGACACUGAGGUGCGAAAGCGUGGGUAGCAAACAGGAUUAGAUACCCGGGUAGUC
rnacentral:rRNA from 1 species